UCCCAGACUCCUACGGGAGGCAGCAGUGAGGAAUAUUGGUCAAUGGGCGAGAGCCUGAACCAGCCAAGUCGCGUGAAGGAUGACGGCCCUACGGGUUGUAAACUUCUUUUGUCAGGGAGCAAUUGAGUCCACGUGUGGGCUUAGCGAGAGUACCUGAAGAAAAAGCAUCGGCUAACUCCGUGCCAGCAGCCGCGGUAAUACGGAGGAUGCGAGCGUUAUCCGGAUUUAUUGGGUUUAAAGGGUGCGUAGGCGGAAUAUCAAGUCAGCGGUAAAAAUUCGGGGCUCAACCCCGUCGUGCCGUUGAAACUGAGUGCCUUGAGUGGGCGAGAAGUACGCGGAAUGCGUGGUGUAGCGGUGAAAUGCAUAGAUAUCACGCAGAACUCCGAUUGCGAAGGCAGCAUACCGGCGCUCAACUGACGCUCAUGCACGAAAGUGUGGGUAUCGAACAGGAUUAGAUACCCGCGUA
rnacentral:rRNA from 1 species